rnacentral:rRNA from 1 species
GAUGAACGCUAGCUACAGGCUUAACACAUGCAAGUCGAGGGACCGGCGCACGGGUGAGUAACACGUAUCCAACCUGCCCUUUACUCGGGGAUAGCCUUUCGAAAGAAAGAUUAAUACCCGAUGUAAAGGAUGGGGAUGCGUUCCAUUAGGUUGUUGGUGAGGUAACGGCACACCAAGCCUUCGAUGGUUAGGGGUUCUGAGAGGAAGUUCCCCCAGAAUGCAACUGUGACACGGUCCAAACUGCGACGAGAGGCAGCAGUGAGGAAGAUAGGGCAAUGGGCGUUAGCCUGAACCAGCCAAGUAGCGUGAAGGAUGAAGGCUUGUGGGUCGUAAACUGCGUUGAAAUAAGGAUAUGUAUUAUAUGAAUAAGGAUCGGCUAACUCCGUGCCAGCAGCCGCGGUAAUUC